rnacentral:rRNA from 1 species
GGCGUGCCUUAUCCCAUCCAAGUUGAACGCACAGGGAUGAAGUUUUCUUUUUUGAAGUGAGUGGCGAACGGGUGAUUAACACAUAAAUAAUCUACCUCUAUGAAUGGGAUAACCAUGGAAAACGAUGGCUAAAACCGGAUAGGAUCUUACAAGACAUCUUGAAGGAUUUAAAGGUGGUUUACACUACGUAGAGAUGAGUUUAUGGCGCAUUAGCUAGUUGGUGAGAUAAAAGCCCACCAAGGCGAUGAUGCGUAGCCGACCUGAGAGGGUGACCGGCCACACUGGGACUGAGACACGGCCCAGACUCCUACGGGAGGCAGCAGUAGGGAAUUUUCGGCAAUGGGGGGAACCCUGACCGAGCGACGCCGCGUGAGUGAAGAAGGCCUUCGGGUUGUAAAACUCUGUUAUCGGGGAAGAAAUUCAUAAAGAGGAAAUGCUUUAUGGUUGACGGUACCCGAUGAGGAAGCCACGGCUAACUACGUGCCAGCAGCCGCGGUAAUACGUAGGUGGCGAGCGUUAUCCGGAAUUAUUGGGCGUAAAGGGUGCGUAGGCGGCUAUUUAAGUUUAAGGUUAAAGUUCAGAGCUCAACUCUGUGAUGCCUUAGAAACUGGGUAGCUAGAGUACAGGAGAGGUGAGUGGAAUUCCAUGUGUAGCGGUAAAAUGCGUAGAGAUAUGGAGGAACACCAGUGGCGAAGGCGACUCACUGGCCUGUAACUGACGCUGAGGCACGAAAGCGUGGGGAGCAAAUAGGAUUAGAUACCCUAGUAGUCCACGCUGUAAACGAUGAAUACUAAGUGUUGGAGUUAAAUUCAGUGCUGCAGUUAACGCAAUAAG